UGCAAUGUCUAAGUACACGCCGACCCAAGGCGAAACCGCGAAUGGCUCAUUAAAUCAGUUAUGGUUCCUUAGAUCGUGCCUCGCUACUUGGAUAACUGUGGCAAUUCUAGAGCUAAUACAUGCAGCAGAGCUCCGACCCCACCGGGGAACGAGCGCUUUUAUUAGACCAACCGGCCGGGCAUCGCCCGCAGUCCGUGGUGACUCUGUAUAACUUUUGGCUGAUCGCACGGGCUCGUCCCGGCGACGCAUCUUUCAAGUGUCUGCCUUAUCAACUGUCGAUGGUAGGCCACGCGCCUACCAUGGUCGUAACGGGUGACGGGGAAUCAGGGUUCGAUUCCGGAGAGGGAGCCUGAGAAACGGCUACCACAUCCAAGGAAGGCAGCAGGCGCGCAAAUUACCCACUCCCGGCACGGGGAGGUAGUGACGAAAAAUAACAAUACGGGACUCUCUCGAGACCCCGUAAUUGGAAUGAGCACACUUUAAAUCCUUUACCGAGGAUCUAUUGGAGAGCAAGUCCGGUGCCAGCAGUCGCGGUAAUUCCAGCUCCAAUGGCGUAUAUUAAAGUUGCUGCGGUUAAAAAGCUCGUAGUUGGAUCUCAGUUCCAGACGGGCGGUCCGCCUAACGGCGGUCACCGCCCGGCCUGAACAGCCGGCCGGUUUCCCCCGAUGAUCUUCACCGAUUGUCCCGGGUGACCGGCACGUUUACUUUGAAGAAAUUAGAGUGCUCAAAGCAGGCGCGAAGCCUGGAUAAUGGUGCAUGGAAUAAUGGAAGAGGACCUCGGUUCUGUUCUGUUGGUCUUCGGAGCACGAGGUAAUGAUCAAGAGGAACAGACGGGGGCAUUCGUAUUGCGACGCUAGAGGUGAAAUUCUUGGACCGUCGCAAGACGAACUACUGCGAAAGCAUUUGCCAAGAAUGUUUUCAUUAAUCAAGAACGAAAGUUAGAGGUUCGAAGGCGAUCAGAUACCGCCCUAGUUCUAACCAUAAACCAUGCCGACCAGCGAUCCGCCUGAGUUCCUCAAAUGACUCGGCGGGCAGCUUCCGGGAAACCAAAGUCUUUGGGUUCCGGGGGAAGUAUGGUUGCAAAACUCGAACUUAAAGGAAUUGACGGAAAGGCACUACCAGACGUGGAGCAUGCGGCUCAAUUUGACUCAACACGGGAAAACUCACCCGGCCCGGACACCGGAAGGAUUGACAGAUUGAGAGCUCUUUCUUGAUUCGGUGCAUGGUGGUGCAUGGUCGCUCUUAGUUGGUGGAGUGAUUUGUCUGGUCUAUUCCGAUAACGAUCGAGACUCUAGCCUACUAAAUAGGCGCCGCCGUCGCUUGCGCGGCGCGCCUUCUUAGAGGGACAGGCGGCGUUUAGCCGCACGAAACGGAGCAAAAGCAGGUUUGUGAUUCCCUAUGAUGCCCGGGACCGCUCGCCCGCUACACUGAAGGAAUCAGUUUUGGCUCCCCCUUCCGGCAGGACUGGGUAACCGAUUGAAACUCCCUCGUGAUAGGGAUAGGGGCUUGUAAUUGUUCCCCUUGAACGAGGAAUGUCCAGUAAGCCCGAAUCAUCAAUUCGCGUUGAUUAUGUCCCUGCCUUUUGUUCACACCGCCCGUCGCUAUUUGUGAUUGGGUGAUUUAGUGAGGUCUUCGGACCGGCACUCGGGGUGGCCCACGGCCACGCCGAAGGGCUGGAAAGAUGACCGAACUUGAUCACUUAGAAGAAAUAAA
rnacentral:rRNA from 1 species